AUGAACGCUAGCGGCAGGCCUAACACAUGCAAGUCGAGGGGUAGAAGUCUUCGGAUUUUGAGACCGGCGCACGGGUGCGUAACGCGUAUGCAAUCUGCCUUACACUAAGGGAUAGCCCAGAGAAAUUUGGAUUAAUACCUUAUAGUAUAUUGAUGUGGCAUCACAUUAUUAUUAAAGAUUUAUUGGUGUAAGAUGAGCAUGCGUCCCAUUAGCUAGUUGGUAUGGUAACGGCAUACCAAGGCUAUGAUGGGUAGGGGUCCUGAGAGGGAGAUCCCUCACACUGGUACUGAGACACGGACCAGACUCCUACGGGAGGCAGCAGUGAGGAAUAUUGGUCAAUGGGCGCAAGCCUGAACCAGCCAUGCCGCGUGCAGGAUGAAGCAUCUAUGGUGUGUAAACUGCUUUUGUACGGGAAGAAACACCUCUUCGUGAAGAGGCUUGACGGUACCGUAAGAAUAAGGAUCGGCUAACUCCGUG
rnacentral:rRNA from 1 species